rnacentral:ncRNA from 2 species
ACCAGGAACCCGGUGCGAGCCCGGGACGGUCCCGCCACUGUGAGCGCGCCCUCCGGGGCCGUGAGUCAGGAACUG